rnacentral:ncRNA from 2 species
UAUCUUUGUGCGGACUUUGUUCAGAGCUGCCUUUUUCCUAUUGGGAUCGGUGGUGAUGAUUAAAAGGGAAUCGGGUGAAAAUCCCGAGCAGUCCCGCUGCUGUGAACCUUGUUAAGCUUUCGGCAUUUAUAUCCACUGUCCGUUCUGUGCGGAUGGGAAGGAGUCGGAAGUAUGGGGUGAGCCAGAAGACCUGCAAAGUCUUUGUCUGCGGC